UAAACGACUCUCGGCAACGGAUAUCUCGGCUCACGCAUCGAUGAAGAACGUAGCAAAAUGCGAUACUUGGUGUGAAUUGCAGAAUCCCGUGAACCAUCGAGUUUUUGAACGCAAGUUGCGCCCGAAGCCUUUUGGCCGAGGGCACGUCUGCCCGGGCGUCACAC
rnacentral:rRNA from 1 species